ACUCCUACGGGAGGCAGCAGUGGGGAAUAUUGCACAAUGGGCGCAAGCCUGAUGCAGCCAUGCCGCGUGUGUGAAGAAGGCCUUCGGGUUGUAAAGCACUUUCAGUCGUGAGGAAGGUAGUGUAGUUAAUAGCUGCAUUAUUUGACGUUAGCGACAGAAGAAGCACCGGCUAACUCCGUGCCAGCAGCCGCGGUAAUACGGAGGGUGCGAGCGUUAAUCGGAAUUACUGGGCGUAAAGCGCAUGCAGGUGGUUGUUAAGUCAGAUGUGAAAGCCCGGGGCUCAACCUCGGAAUAGCAUUUGAAACUGGCAGACUAGAGUACUGUAGAGGGGGUAGAAUUUCAGGUGUAGCGGUGAAAUGCGUAGAGAUCUGAAGGAUACCGGUGGCGAAGGCGGCCCCUGGACAGAUACUGACACUCAGAUGCGAAAGCGUGGGAGCAAACAGGAUUAGAUACCCCUGGUAGACUGUCA
rnacentral:rRNA from 1 species